UACGUAGGUGGCAAGCGUUGUCCGGAAUUAUUGGGCGUAAAGCGCGCGCAGGUGGUUCCUUAAGUCUGAUGUGAAAGCCCACGGCUCAACCGUGGAGGGUCAUUGGAAACUGGGGAACUUGAGUGCAGAAGAGGAAAGUGGAAUUCCAAGUGUAGCGGUGAAAUGCGUAGAGAUUUGGAGGAACACCAGUGGUGAAGGCGACUUUCUGGUCUGUAACUGACACUGAGGCGCGAAAGCGUGGGGAGCAAACAGG
rnacentral:rRNA from 1 species